rnacentral:hammerhead_ribozyme from 1 species
AUUCAGAUGACGAGUCCCCAAAUAGGACGACAUGCGCAUCCUGGAU